CUGACGCCUGCCCGGUGCUGGAAGGUUAAAAGGUGAGGUUAGGGGCAACCCGAAGCUUUAAAUUGAAGCCCCAGUAAACGGCGGCCGUAACUAUAACGGUCCUAAGGUAGCGAAAUUCCUAGUCGGGUAAGUUCCGACGUGCAUGAAUAGCGUAACGACUGGAGCUCUGUCUCAAGUGGGAACUCGGUGAAAUCGUAGUGGUGGUGAAAAUACCACCUUGCCGCGGCAAGACGGAAAGACCCCGUGAACCUUUACUGUAACUUGGCAUUGGCUCUUGGAUAAGUCUGUGUAGGAUAGGUGGGAGGCGUUGAGACCCGGACGCUAGUCCGGGUGGAGCCAUCCUUGAAAUACCACCCUGAUUUGUUUAAGAGUCUAACCGGGUCCCGUGAAUCCGGGUUCGGAACAAUGUCAGGCGGGCAGUUUGACUGGGGCGGUCUCCUCCCAAAACGUAACGGAGGAGCUCAAAGGUAGGCUUGGCACGGUUGGCAAUCGUGCUGUAAGGGCAAUGCUAUAAGCCUGCUUAACUGCGAGACCGGUGGGUCAAGCAGAUGGGAAACCAGGACAUAGUGAUCCGGCGAUUCUGUGUGGAAGGGUCGUCGCUCACCAGACAAAAGGUACUCCGGGGAUAACAGGCUGAUCGCUCCCGAGCGUCCAUAGCGGCGGAGCGGUUUGGCACCUCGAUGUCGACUCGUCACAUCCUGGGGCUGAAGGCGGUCCCAAGGGUUCGGCUGUUCGCCGAUUAAAGUGGCACGCGAGUUGGGUUCAGACCGGCGUGAGCCAGGUCGGUCCCUAUCUGCCGUGGCCGUAGGAUACUUGAGAUGGUACUUCCUUAGUACGAGAGGAUUAGGAAGUACGAGCCUCUGGUGCACCAGUUGUCCUGCCAAGGGCACCGCUGGGUAGCUAUGCUCGGAACGGAUAAACGCUGAAAGCAUCUAAGCGUGAAGCCUUCAUCAAGACUAGGUAUCCAUGUCCCUUCGGGGACGAGAGACCCCUGGAAGACUACCAGGUUGAUAGGCGGGAGGUGUACGCACAGAAAUGUGCUUAGCUAACCCGUACUAAUGGUCGAUCACUUGACCACAU
rnacentral:rRNA from 1 species